rnacentral:lncRNA from 1 species
GAUGCCAGCCCCGCCCCGGCCCACCUCUCUCUGCCAGCCCGGCACGGCGGCGGCGCCGGCGGCGAAGGGACUCGGGGGUCCCCGGGCGCAGCAUGAGGAGCGUGUGGCCGCUACACCCGGUGGCCGCCGCGCUGUCAGCGCUGGGGAUGUCGACCUACAAGCGGGCCACGCUGGACGAGGAGGACCUGGUGGACUCGCUCUCCGAAGGCGACGUGUACCCCAACGGACUGCAGGUAGGAGCCCCCCGCCGCCGCCCUCCGGGUGCCACAGACGCCCCAGGGCCGGGCGUGGGCGCUGUGGUGGCCCCUUCCCAUCGCACCAGCCUGGGGUCCUGGGGGUGUGAGUACCUCUGAGGUGCUACCCCCUCACCCCAGUCCGGAGCCCCCUGCUUCUGGGACAGCCCAGGUGGCAGAGUAGGUGCACCCUCCAGCCUGAUGUGGUGGGGUUCCCUUUCCACAGAAGAGGCAGCUCAGCCUGGCAGGGGGCAGCACACACGGCCCCACAGCCCCAUCCCUACAGAAUCCUUCAAACGCCAACCCAGCCAUCUCCCACCUGCCCUUCAAGGCACUCCCACUUUCUCUGGAAAUACGGUGACCAGCUGGUCCCAGUUUGCCCAGAACUUUCACACUUUUCUCACUGAAAGUCCUGCAUCCUAGGUCACCCCCUCAGUCCCUGGCAAACCAGGACAGGUGGCCACCUCUUACGGCUGGCAUUACCUCAUCCUUCUCUCCCCU